UGCUGCAUGCCUCUGCCGUACAACAAGCUUCCAGGGCUGCUGAGCGGCGAUGGAUGAAAUCCCACUCUAAGGAUCACUUCACCACAUAUAAGCAAUCCCUCCUCAUUUUCAAAUCCUCACUCGCUGAUGCAAAACAGGCCUACUUCUCAUCUCUCAUAUCUUCCC